rnacentral:rRNA from 1 species
UAUCAAUAAGCGGAGGAAAAGAAACUAACAAGGAUUCCCCUAGUAACUGCGAGUGAAGCGGGAAAAGCUCAAAUUUAAAAUCUGGCGGUCCUUGGCUGUCCGAGUUGUAAUUUAGAGAAGCGUCUUCCGCGCUGGACCGUGCACAAGUCUCCUGGAAUGGAGCGUCAUAGAGGGUGAGAAUCCCGUCUUUGGCAUGGAUGCCCAGUGCUUCUGUGAUGCGCUCUCAAAGAGUCGAGUUGUUUGGGAAUGCAGCUCAAAAUGGGUGGUGAACUCCAUCUAAAGCUAAAUAUUGGCGAGAGACCGAUAGCGAACAAGUACCGUGAGGGAAAGAUGAAAAGCACUUUGGAAAGAGAGUGAAACAGUACGUGAAAUUGUUGAAAGGGAAACGCUUGAAGUCAGUCGCGUCGUCCGAGACUCAGCCUUGCCUCGGCUUGGUGUACUUCUCGGCUCGACGGGUCAGCAUGAAUUUUGCACCUCGGAUAAUGGCAAGGGAAAGGUGGCACCUUUGCGGGUGUGUUAUAGUCUCAUGUCGCAUGCGAGGGGUGAGAUUGAGGAACUCAGCGUGCGCCUUUGGUGUCGGGGCUUCGGCCCACGUAACGCGCUUAGGAUGCUGGCGUAAUGGCUUUAAACGACCCGUCUUGAAACAC